UAGGGAAUCUUCCACAAUGGACGCAAGUCUGAUGGAGCAACGCCGCGUGAGUGAAGAAGGUCUUCGGAUCGUAAAGCUCUGUUGUUGGUGAAGAAGGAUAGAGGCAGUAACUGGUCUUUAUUUGACGGUAAUCAACCAGAAAGUCACGGCUAACUACGUGCCAGCAGCCGCGGUAAUACGUAGGUGGCAAGCGUUGUCCGGAUUUAUUGGGCGUAAAGCGAGCGCAGGCGGAAUGAUAAGUCUGAUGUGAAAGCCCACGGCUCAACCGUGGAACUGCAUCGGAAACUGUCAUUCUUGAGUGCAGAAGAGGAGAGUGGAACUCCAUGUGUAGCGGUGGAAUGCGUAGAUAUAUGGAAGAACACCAGUGGCGAAGGCGGCUCUCUGGUCUGCAACUGACGCUGAGGCUCGAAAGCAUGGGUAGCGAACAGGAUUAGAUACCCUGGUAGUCCAUGCC
rnacentral:rRNA from 1 species